GUCGCGGAAGUCGGGCUCCAUCAGCUCUUCCCUGGCCCCUGGGUGGAGCCAGCCCCAUUCCCUCCAGGUGCUCAAUAAGCAUAUGCUUGGUGGCCUGUUGACAUCUGGGAGGAACCAGAAGCCCCGGGGGGACUCGGGGACUUAGCGCCUUCCUUCCGCGCCCCUGACUGGUUUUCCCAGAGUAGGAGCCCUGGAACUGGACAGUGCUUCCUGGCACAUAGUAGGCUCUCCGGUUUUGAUGGGACUGCCAUGUGACCCCCCAAGGGACAAAACAGAAUGACCUGAUAACACACCGGAGGCCCUUCACCCAGACUUCACCUCCGAGAAAUGCCCAGAAGCUUCUGGGGGAGGCGCUGGCCAGCCUGGACGUCCCGGGGGCUCGGUGGGCGGCCCAGCCCUGCCUCCUGCCAUCAGUGUAAUGCAUUCAUGUCUACAGGGUGGCAAGCAUCAUAUCCUCCCUCCGUCUUUCCUGCAUUAUUGAUGGACUGCACUUUUUAAAAAAUCAAUUAGAUCAGGGCGUGGAACUGGAGUUAAAAAGAAGCCUUUAAAAGUCUGCUCCUGUUUUUGCUGUUUUGAAUAGGAACAGAUAAAGCUUUCCCUCUGGUUUGAAUAAGUCAAGCCCAGGGCUAGGUUGGCUGUGAUUGGCCAGGACUAGGAAAAUGCGGUUAAGAUGCAAACCCAAGCAAAUAUAACCCAGUGUCUGCACAGCCAUUACUAAGAGAAGGCAGCAGGGCCUGGAGCCUCCCACACUGGGUGGUUCCUCAACACUGCUUACCCGCUGCCAGAAAACUGGGAAGACUGGUGAGAGAAGGCAAGUCCCGGGAAGCCAAGCGCCAUGUCUCUGAGCAGCGCCUUCCGGGCUGUGGGCAACGACCCUGGGGUCAUCACCUGGAGAAUAGAGAAAAUGGAGCUGGCGCUGGUGCCUUUGUGUGCCCAUGGCAACUUCUAUGAAGGAGACUGCUAUGUCAUCCUCUCGACGCGGAGAGUGGGCAGCCUCCUCUCCCAGGACAUCCACUUCUGGAUCGGGAAGGACUCCUCCCAGGACGAGCAGAGCUGUGCGGCCAUCUACGCCACGCAGCUGGACGACUACCUGGGGGGCAGCCCCGUCCAGCACCGGGAGGUCCAGUACCACGAGUCGGACACCUUCCGCGGCUACUUCAAGCAGGGCAUCAUCUACAAGAAGGGCGGUGUGGCCUCUGGGAUGAGGCACGUGGAGACCAACACCUACAACGUGAAGCGGCUGCUGCACGUGAAGGGGAAGAGAAGCAUCCGGGCCGCCGAGGUGGAAAUGAGCUGGGACAGUUUUAACCGAGGAGACGUCUUCCUGCUGGAUCUUGGGAAGGUCAUCGUCCAGUGGAACGGCCCGGAGAGCAGCAGCGGGGAGCGCCUGAAGGCGAUGCUUCUGGCAAAGGAUAUUCGGGACAGGGAGCGAGGGGGUCGUGCUGAGAUAGGAGUGAUCGAGGGAGACAAGGAGGCGGCCAGCCCGGAGCUGAUGAAGGUCCUUCAGGACACCCUCGGCCGGCGCUCCAUCAUCCAACCUGCAGUCCCAGAUGAGGUCAUAGAUCAGAAGCAGAAAUCAAACAUCACGCUGUAUCAUGUCUCAGACUCAUCUGGGCAGCUGGCGGUCACGGAGGUAGCGACGAGGCCUCUGGUCCAGGACUUACUGAACCCUGAUGACUGCUACAUCCUGGACCAAAGUGGAACCAAGAUCUACGUGUGGAAAGGAAGAGGAGCCACAAAGGCUGAGAAACAGAUGGCCAUGUCUAGAGCCCUGGACUUCAUCAGGAUGAAGGGCUACCCCAGCAGCACCAACGUGGAGACCGUCAAUGACGGGGCAGAGUCGGCCAUGUUCAAGCAGCUGUUCCAGAAGUGGACAGUGAAGGAACAGACCGUGGGUCUGGGGAAGACGUUCAGCGUGGGUAAAGUCGCGAAGGUUUUCCAGGAUAAGUUUGAUGUAACUCUGCUGCAUACCAAACCAGAGGUGGCAGCCCGGGAAAGAAUGGUAGACGACGGCAAUGGCAAAGUCGAGGUCUGGAGGAUAGAAAACCUGGAGCUGGUCCCCGUGGAGCACCGGUGGUACGGCUUCUUUUACGGGGGAGACUGCUACCUGGUUCUCUACACGUACGAGAUGCAUGGGAAGCCUCAUUACAUCUUGUAUAUCUGGCAGGUAGGCCUGGAGCAGGCUCUUAACUUUGGAUCCUGGUGCUUCCUCUGGCCACGGAGCUGGGACCGGGGGUGGCAGGGACCCACAGCGCCCGUCUCACCCCUGCAGGGCCGCCACGCCUCACAGGAUGAGCUGGCAGCCUCGGCAUAUCAGGCGGCAGAGGUGGACCAGCAGUUUGAAGGGGCCCCCGUGCAGGUUCGGGUCACCAUGGGGAAGGAGCCGCGCCACUUCAUGGCCAUCUUCAAAGGAAAGCUGGUCAUCUUUGAGGGUGGGACUUCGAGGAAGGGAAAUACUGAGCCAGAUCCUCCAGUAAGACUCUUCCAGAUUCAAGGACAUGACAAAUCUAACACCAAGGCAGUGGAGGUCCCAGCCUUCACCUCCUCCCUAAACUCCAAUGAUGUCUUUCUGCUGCGGACCCAGGCAGAGCACUACCUGUGGUUCGGCAAGGGGUCUAGUGGGGAUGAGCGGGCCAUGGCCAAGGAGCUGGCCGGACUUCUCUGUGAGGGCGUGGAGAAUACAGUGGCCGAGGGCCAGGAGCCGGCUGAGUUCUGGGACCUGCUGGGAGGGAAAACUCCCUACGCCAGUGACAAAAGACUGCAGGAGAUCCUAGAGGUCCAGUCUCGCCUCUUUGAAUGCUCCAAUAAGACCGGCCGGUUCACUGUCACUGAGAUCACAGACUUCACCCAGGACGACCUGAGCCCCGGUGACGUGAUGCUCCUGGAUACCUGGGACCAGGUGUUCCUGUGGGUCGGGGCCGAGGCCAACGCCGCGGAGAAGCGGGGUGCUCUGACUGCCGCCCAGGAGUACCUGCACACUCACCCCGGCGGCCGGGACACCAGCACACCGAUCCUGAUCGUUAAGCAGGGGUUCGAGCCUCCCAUCUUCACAGGCUGGUUCCUGGCCUGGGACCCUCACAUGUGGAGCGCAGGGAAAUCAUAUGAGCAGGUAAAAGAGGAGCUGGGAGACGCUGCUGCUGUCACAAGAGUCACUGCUGUGAGUUUCCCGGAGGAGCCGUUCACAGGCAACCAGAGCCAGAGAAACAGCAGAUGCUAUAGACACAGCGUGGCUGAAACCCCAUCACGUCCUUCUCAGUGUCACUCCGGAUAUGAGGGACACAACCCUUCCCCUGAAUUCUGAGCCAAAGUAUUACCCCCUAGAAGUUCUGCUGAAAAAUCAGAGUCAGGAGUUGCCAGAGGACGUGAACCCUGCCAAAAAGGAGAAUUACCUCUCUGAACGGGACUUUGUUUCCGUGUUUGGCAUCACCAGAGGGCAGUUUGCUGCUCUGCCUGGCUGGAAACAGCUCCAGAUGAAGAAAGAAAAGGGGCUUUUCUGAGGCAAGAAGGCAUCUGCCUAUUGCAAGAUCCCAGAAGAGAGCAGACAGUGCCAUAUAUCAGCAAAGAAUUUCCCUAAUUUCUGCCUAAUGUCCAGCUACUUAAUGGAGAGAGCAGAGCCUGCCAAUCACAGCAUGUAGUCCAUUUUUCUCAUCCCUGCAUCUCUUAGUUGUCAUAUACCUAAAAUGUUAGCUGCUCACUUUGAAAUGUUUAUGGUCUUCUGGCUGCAGCCUUAGCAGAAAAUGCUAAAACUGCAUGAAAAUCUGGAGAAGUCAAAAGUAAGAGAACAGAAAAAUCGUUUAAAGUGCUUAAUUCUGGGGCAAGGGCCGUUUGUUUUACAUUUUAAGGUGGGUAUUUUCUAUUUAACCCAGAAAUCAUCAAAGUUAUUCACAUAUAUACAAAAUAAAAAAUGCUCAAAUCUCUAUGUGCCAGAAGUUUUUAAAUUUUCAAAUAAAGGUACCAAUAAGGACACAUGGGCGUUCUCUCAGACUCCUGGGUCUGCCCGUUGUGGUGACUACUGUGCUCUGUGGGAGGCGUCUCAGGACCGGGGCCGUCAGGAUGCACUUCUGGGCUUCCCUACACGGUGGCUCAGUGGUAGAGUCCACCUGCUGAUGCAGGAGACAUGAGUUCGAUCCCUGCUCUGGGAAGAUUCCACGUGCCACGGAGCAACGAAGCCCAUGAGCCCCAGCUACUGAGUCUGCGCUCUAGAGCGCAGAAGCCCCGACUACUGAAGCCUGCAAACUCCAGAGUCCAUGCUCCGCAACAAGAGAAGCCACUGCAGUGAGAAGCCCGGGCACCGCAGCUGGAGCAAAGCCCCACAGAGCAACAGAGACCCAGCACAGCCAUAAACAAACAAAACUAUCAACAUCCUUUUAAAAAAGAGGCACUGCUGAGGGAGCUCUCUGGA